rnacentral:tRNA from 1 species
GGUGGUGUAGCUCAAUUGGUAGAGCAAACGCAAACGCUUGUGUUAGGUAUGGGGUAUGGGGUUCGAUUCCUCGCAUCUCCA